rnacentral:rRNA from 1 species
AUUGAACGCUGGCGGAAUGCUUUACACAUGCAAGUCGAGCGGCAGCGCGGUCUUCGGACUGGCGGCGAGCGGCGAACGGGUGAGUAAUACAUCGGAACAUGCCCAGUCGUGGGGGAUAACACUUCGAAAGAAGUGCUAAUACCGCAUACGUCCUGAGGGAGAAAGCGGGGGAUCGUAAGACCUCGCGCGAUUGGAGUGGCCGAUGUCAGAUUAGCUAGUUGGUGGGGUAAAGGCCUACCAAGGCAACGAUCUGUAGCUGGUCUGAGAGGAUGAGCGGCCACACUGGGACUGAGACACGGCCCAGACUCCUACGGGAGGCAGCAGUGGGGAAUUUUGGACAAUGGGGGCAACCCUGAUCCAGCCAUUCCGCGUGAGUGAAGAAGGCCUUCGGGUUGUAAAGCUCUUUCGGCAGGAACGAAACGGCGAGCUCUAACAUAGCUCGCUAAUGACGGUACCUGAAGAAGAAGCACCGGCUAACUACGUGCCAGCAGCCGCCGUAACAC